UCCUGAGGGGUUCACCAAGUAGCCAGAAGAGGAAGAAGUGGGAGUAUCAUUCCCAAUUCCACAAGGCUCUCAGGCAAGGGGCUGAGUCUGGUGGAAUUCACAUUCUCCUCUAAUUUGAAAAGACCUUUGUUGUCAUUUUGAGCUCUGUUCUGAAGGUCAUGGCGUUUGGUGGUAAAAGGUUUACUUCAAUCAUCACCUUGCGAUCAUCACCUUGAAUCAUCUAUAAUCAAAUGCUGAUAGAAACAACCACAAGAACAAAAACACUGCAAAAUAAGGUGGGAAAAACUGAAGCCAAAGGCAACUAUUUCCAAGGAAAUUAGCCAGCAUCAGAAAAUUCCUGGUGAGUAUUAUAAGAAGCUGUCGUGCAUUCACCAGCAGGAGCAGUGGAAGUGG